ACGCACGCUGGCGGCGUGCCUAAUCCAUGCAAGUCGAGCGGACCGAACAGGAGCUUGCUCUUGUUCGGUUAGCGGCGGACGGGUGAGUAACACGUGGGUAACCUGCCCGUAAGACCGGGAUAACUCCGGGAAACCGGAGCUAAUACCGGAUAACACCGAAGACCGCAUGGUCUUUGGUUGAAAGGCGGCUUCGGCUGCCACUUACGGAUGGGCCCGCGGCGCAUUAGCUAGUUGGUGAGGUAACGGCUCACCAAGGCGACGAUGCGUAGUCGGCCUGAGAGGGUGACCGGCCACACUGGGACUGAGACACGGCCCAGACUCCUACGGGAGGCAGCAGUAGGGAAUCUUCCGCAAUGGACGAAAGUCUGACGGAGCGACGCCGCGUGAGCGAAGAAGGUCUUCGGAUCGUAAAGCUCUGUUGUUAGGGAAGAAGAAGCGUCGUUCGAACAGGGCGGCGCGGUGACGGUACCUAACGAGAAAGCCCCGGCUAACUACGUG
rnacentral:rRNA from 1 species